AGAAAGAAAGAACUGUGGUCGACCGAGUCUUCCAGUUCACUCUUCCUCCCUCGGUGGAGUUACCAUUAGCAGUCGCCGGAGACCUAAAACCCGCCACCCCGCCACCACCUCCUCUCCUCCUCCGCCGCCGGGUUGUUCCCUCUUUGUUUUCGGUACCCUUCUUCCUCUCUUCAAACCCCCAAAACCCCCAGUCGAAACUAAUCCCUUUGGAACCUGUAACCCAUCUAGAAAUUCGUCCUCUCCUUUUUGGAGUUAGGUUUGCUUCUGUUGGGGAGAUUUUCCAAGGAAAGAUGAGGCUGCCUAAUCUUGGUUCUAUGCUCACAGAUACUGGAGACAAGAGAGCAUAUUUUUGCAGCUUUCUCCUUCUGGGUGCUGUCCUUGGUUUAGCCUGCCUUGUUGGGACUCCCUCUUUUGUUAGUAACAAAGGAAUAAUGUUAGGAUGGGGAGCAAUGGAGCCAACUCAGAAUAAAUCGUCCACUUCAUGCAAGACUCAAUGCAAACCUUCAGGGAGUGAGCCAUUGCCUAAUGGCAUUGUUAGCAGGACAUCAAACUUAGAAAUGCAACCAAUGUGGGGAUCUCUACACACUCAAAAGGAAAAGCACGUAGCAAAGGCGUCUCAGAGCUUGUUGGCCAUGGCAGUUGGAAUAAAGCAAAAAACAGUUGUGGAUCAAAUUGUUGAGAAGUUUUUCUCCAGCAAUUUCACUAUAAUGCUUUUCCAUUAUGAUGGUGUGGUGGAUGAGUGGAGAGACUUACAAUGGAGUGAUAGUGCCUUACAUGUCUCUGCAAUCAAUCAAACAAAAUGGUGGUUUGCGAAGCGUUUUUUACAUCCAGAUAUAGUUGCUGAGUACAAUUAUAUAUUCCUUUGGGAUGAAGAUCUUGGAGUAGAGCACUUUCAUCCUGGACGUUAUAUAUCAAUCAUUGAGAGGGAAGGGUUAGAGAUAUCACAACCUGCAUUGGACGUUGCUAAAUCAGAGGUGCAUCAUCAAAUCACUGCACGUGGGAGGCAAGGAGAUGUGCACAGAAGAAUUUACAAGUCGAGAGGUGGUGGGAGGUGUUAUGAGAACAGUACUGCACCUCCGUGCACAGGGUGGGUAGAGAUGAUGGCUCCCGUGUUCUCAAGAGCUGCAUGGCGUUGUGUGUGGUAUAUGAUCCAGAAUGAUUUGAUUCAUGCAUGGGGCCUAGACAUGAAGCUUGGUUACUGUUGUCAGGGUGAUCGAACGAAAAAUGUUGGAGUGGUGGACAGUGAAUAUAUAGUUCAUAUGGGUACACCUACACUUGGUGGUUUUGAUGAGAACAAGUCAAAUGCAGAACAACGUGGUCAUGCUCCUGUAUCUGAGUCAUCUUACUUGGGAACAGUGGUCCCUCAUGGAUCAUCUGGUGUUAAGGAUAGAUAUGCAGUAAGGCGCCGGUCUUAUGUUGAACUUAGGAUUUUCCUAACAAGAUGGAAAAAUGCAGUGGCAGAGGAUCAGUGCUGGAAUGAUCCAUAUCCUGAAGCAGGAAAGAAAUUGAAGUAUUGAACAGAUAGUAUGGCUUUGUCUUACCGGCUUGCCUUGGGCUCCGAAAGUUCGCUCAGACCAUACACCAGACUAGUUGAUGCAAACAUGGAACAUCUGCAGAAGUGUACAGUGAAGUAUGAGAGACAGCAUAGGAUGCAAGUACUGGUGUAAGCCAAAAAGUUUUCAGUCAAGUUGAUACUUGAACAUUUCUGAAUAAAGGAGAUGCACCCUCAUCAAUUCAUUUUGAAAAAAAUUAUGAAAGAGAAUGCAAAUCUACAGUUGAUCUGGUAGUUUUCUUUUCUUCCUUCUUAUACUUUCUCAAUAUAUCUAAAGAUAUAAGGUUGCCACAAAAUCUUAUGUACAAGUCAGAUAAAUCUAAACAGCGGCUUCGGCAUUUUGUUCUCUAUUGCAACUUUAUAUACUAUAUAAUGAUCAUGGAAGCUUCUGUUGUUAUAUUCUAUCUGGACACUAUGUAUUGCUUCCUUUGUUUAGUACUAAAAGAGCCAAUAGAACAGAUUUCCUAAAA